CACGCCGUAAACGAUGGAUACUAGCUGUUGGAUCGUGAGGUUCAGUGGCUAAGCAAAAGUGAUAAGUAUCCCACCUGGGGAGUACGUUCGCAAGAAUGAAACUCAAAGGAAUUGACGGGGGCCCGCACAAGCGGUGGAGCAUGUGGUUUAAUUCGAUGAUACGCGAGGAACCUUACCAGGGCUUAAAUGUAGAUUGCAUGAUGUGGAAACACGUCUUUCUUCGGACUAUCUACAAGGUGC
rnacentral:rRNA from 1 species